GUGUAUUUCAGAGAACAACUCUUCAAGCAUCUUUGCUAUAUUUGACACUGAGCUGUCAGGGGACUCAGGCUUAUGAGGAAGUACUGUCACACAAAACAGUGUCUAGUGAAGAAGACCAGAAAGAGAGGAAAGGACCGGAAAAAGAAGCUCAAGUACUACAGAAAACCAUGAGAUCUAUUCGAUCUUUUGCCAAUGAUGAUCGCCAUGUCAUGGUGAAACAUUCAACAAUUUAUCCAUCUCCAGAGGAACUUGAAGCUGUUCAGAAUAUGGUGUCUACUGUUGAAUGUGCGCUUAAACAUGUCUCAGAUUGGCUGGAUGAAACAAAUAAAGGCACAAAAACAGAGGGCGAGACAGAAGUGAAGAAAGAUGAGGCUGUAGAAAACUAUUCCAAGGAUCAGCGAGGUCGGACAUUGUGUGGGGUAAUGAGGAUUGGACUGGUUGCAAAAGGCUUACUGAUUAAGGAUGAUAUGGACUUGGAGCUGGUUUUAAUGUGCAAAGACAAACCCACAGAGACCCUGCUAACUACAGUGAGAGAUAAUCUUCCUGUACAGAUUCAGAAACUGACAGAAGAAAAAUACCAAGUGGAACAAUGUGUAAAUGAGGCAUCUAUUAUAAUUCGGAACACAAAAGAGCCAACAUUAACUCUGAAGGUGAUACUUACUUCCCCUCUAAUUAGGGACGAAUUGGAGAAGAAGGAUGGAGAAAAUGUUUCGAUGAAAGAUCCUCCGGACUUAUUGGACAGGCAAAAAUGCCUGAACGCCUUGGCGUCUCUUCGACAUGCCAAAUGGUUUCAGGCAAGGGCAAAUGGAUUAAAAUCAUGUGUAAUUGUCCUCCGAAUUCUGCGUGAUUUGUGCAACAGAGUCCCCACAUGGGCACCACUGAAAGGAUGGCCACUAGAGCUUAUAUGUGAAAAGUCUAUAGGUACUUGUAAUAGACCUUUGGGCGCUGGGGAGGCCUUGAGACGAGUAAUGGAGUGUUUGGCAUCUGGAAUACUACUUCCUGGAGGCCCUGGUCUUCAUGAUCCUUGUGAGCGAGACCCAACAGAUGCUCUGAGCUAUAUGACUAUCCAACAAAAAGAAGAUAUUACCCACAGUGCACAGCAUGCGCUUAGACUGUCAGCGUUUGGCCAGAUUUAUAAAGUGUUGGAGAUGGACCCCCUUCCCUCUAGUAAGCCUUUUCAGAAGUAUUCCUGGUCAGUUACUGAUAAAGAAGGUGCUGGGUCAUCAGCUAUAAAGAGGCCAUUUGAAGAUGGGUUAGGGGAUGAUAAAGAUCCCAAUAAGAAGAUGAAACGAAACUUAAGAAAAAUCCUGGAUAGUAAAGCAAUAGACCUUAUGAAUGCAUUAAUGAGGCUAAAUCAGAUCAGACCUGGGCUUCAGUAUAAGCUCUUGUCUCAGUCUGGCCCUGUCCAUGCCCCAGUCUUCACAAUGUCUGUAGAUGUGGAUGGCACAACUUAUGAAGCCUCAGGACCAUCCAAGAAAACAGCAAAACUUCACGUAGCAGUGAAGGUUUUACAGGCAAUGGGAUACCCAACAGGCUUUGAUGCAGAUAUUGAAUGUAUGAGUUCCGAUGAAAAGUCAGACAAUGAAAGCAAAAAUGAAACAGUGUCUUCAAACUCAAGCAAUAAUACUGGAAAUUCUACAACUGAAACCUCCAGUACCUUAGAGGUAAGAACUCAGGGCCCUAUCCUCACAGCAAGUGGCAAAAAUCCUGUCAUGGAGCUCAAUGAAAAAAGAAGAGGUCUCAAGUAUGAACUUAUCUCAGAAACUGGUGGAAGCCAUGAUAAGCGCUUUGUAAUGGAGGUAGAAGUAGAUGGGCAGAAAUUCCGAGGCGCAGGUCCAAAUAAGAAAGUGGCAAAGGCAAGUGCUGCGUUAGCUGCCCUGGAGAAGCUGUUUUCUGGCCCCAAUGCAGCAAAUAAUAAGAAAAAGAAGAUUAUUCCUCAGGCAAAGGGUGUUGUGAAUACAGCUGUAUCUGCAGCAGUCCAGGCAGUUCGGGGCAGAGGAAGAGGAACUCUGACAAGGGGAGCUUUUGUUGGGGCUACGGCUGCUCCUGGCUACAUAGCUCCAGGCUAUGGAACACCUUAUGGUUACAGUACAGCUGCCCCUGCCUAUGGUUAAUACUUUUAAGCAGUUUUCAGCACGUUUAUCUCACUUUAUUCUCGUUCUCCUCGGACCUUCGUAGCCAUAUCACUUGUAUAAAAUAGGCUGAGAUAUAGUGACUGUAAGCUGUGAUCUCAGUAUACAAAGAUGGAGGCUGGCCCUGCCUGGGACACAUACGCUUUUCAUCCGGCGUCAAGUUCUGCGCUGUGCUCCGGCCUCCUAAGGAAGGUGCAUGUCAGUGGAUACCAUAAGUCAUGUCAUAGCAGAACUAGAGCCCUGCCCGCCAACCUGUCCUAGCCCCCAGUCAAGGUCGGUACCACCCCGUCCUGUUUUCCUAUGCCAGGGAACGUGAUGGUCAGAAACAUUAAAACUAAAAAACGAAAUAUUCUGCUCUGGGAGUGUGGAGUCAGAUCUCCAUCCCUUUAUUCUUCAGGGAAUCUGAAUCGAGACUAGGGAUAGGAAUUGCAGACAGCUAAAAGGACCAUCUUCUUACUUUUAACUUAAAAGUUGCAUUUCCAAGUUCUGGCUCCUUUCCUUCUUCCGGAGCGUGUGUUCUCGCUCUUCCAGGCUGGCACUGCUCACCUCCAAGCUUGGGAGCUGGCUUUCUGCUGGCACAGGCACCUUGGCUUUCGGAGGAUCUUGGUGGUUGGGCAGGUCAGUGACAGGUCACACUGGUCCUUGACCCACUCGUGCCACAGCCCCGACACCCCGAGGGGAUGAUGAUUGCCUGCUUCCUCAGGCCCUCUCCACUUGAGGCCAGCCGUGCUGCCCUCGGAUGAGCCCUUUCCUCCCGGCAUCACCUUCCAAGCACAGACUGGCCUUUUGCCAGCUGGUAGCAGUCGCUCUGCACCAGUGGGGUGCGGAAUGCUGCUUUUCCCUAGCUCACUUUAUGUGGCAGCUCUUGAGCAUUGGCCCACCCUGACUGUGGAGGUGCUUGGCCACCCGCACUCCCUCCUGUGGAGAGGAGAGGAGGCUUGGGGGUAGCCGCUGCUGGGCAGGCAGCCACGGUCUUCCCAGAGACUUUGUUGUCUGUGUGCAACCAAGAAUCCAGGGUGGCUCUGCUGGCUGCUGAGCUAGUCACACUGGGGCUCGGGGCAAAGUGAGUGGUUGAGCUGGGUGGGACCCUCCUGCCACUGGCCCUUCCUUGGGUAGGCCCUCUAGCUUGGGAGCUUUAUUGUAUUUUUCCCAAAGCAUCUCCAAACUCAGGCGACUCAUCUGCCUGGCCAGUUGUGUGGUAUCUUGGGUCUCUGAAAGUGGCUGGUUGGGGUCCAGCCAUUUUUUCAGGAAGGAAAGUCUCCUGAGAUAGCUAUAAUUAUGGCACGCGCGCGUGCGUGCGCACACACACACACACACACACACUCACACACACUCACUCACUCACUCACUCACUCACUCACUCUACCAGAAGUGAGGCCAAAUCCCUCACUAAACCCAGGGCCUUUGGUCAGGAAUUGCUAGGGGAGGGCGGAGCUUACGCCCUUGGAAUCCAUACCCAUGACGGUGACUUAUCUGUCCUGUGGCGUGUAGCACUCCCAGAGGAGUGAGACCCGUCACGCUUGCUUCUCAAGAAAGCGCAGUCUGCAGAGGAGGUGGGAGGCGCAGCUUGUGGACACCCGAGGCCCAGAGCUGUUCACGAGAGGGCUUUCUUCCUCCUAAUGUGGAAGGUGUCCAGUUGGGGUGCCGGGGGAGUGGUAGGUAGGAAACCUGUCCCCAUUGCACGGUUACACAUGUGACUUUGGACUUCUGGCAGUAGCUUACUUGGGUCCGAUGCUAGCCAAGUUAGUAUUUAGAAGUCUGUUUAAAAUACCUAUCUGUAUCUAUUUGUGUUUUUCUGAAUACACAAGUGUACAUAGUAUAACUGACAGUGCAACGUCCUUGGCAAUAAUUUCAUGUUGUGUAUUAUGUUAAAAAAACAUUUGAAACCACAACCACCAUGGAGUGUGGUGCCCCUGCGGGGCUGUGGUUACAUGUAGGACUCUGGACUUUAAGCCGACGGCGCGGUUGAAGCAGCAGCCUGCAUGUGUGGACUGUCAUCAGUGCCUCGCCCAGAGAUGCCUGGCCUUCAUCCAAAGGGACCCCGCUGCCCUGGCUCCCUCCUGCAGGCAGCGCCCACACUGUGGCUCCUUCAUGCUGAGUGCGUUGGACUCUGCUGUAGACUGAGCCUCUUGUCUGGCUGCUGCAGUUUGUCUGUAAUGCCCUGACAUGUUGCAUUUUCCCGUUGGAUGAAUAAAAAUAAAUGCUUCUGUGUUCCAACAGCAA